UAAUACGCAUCCUUCGGGAGCGUUUGUCAAAUGUGCGCUGGCUUCGGCUGGCGUUGACAUCUUCUGUGCACUGUACAAAACCCCAACUUAACUAGUCUGAACUUAUUAUUCUUUUGCAACUAUUCAUCUCGUAUGAAAACGUGCAUAUCUGAAUUAAUAUA
rnacentral:misc_RNA from 1 species